rnacentral:rRNA from 1 species
UGAUCCUGGCUCAGAUUGAACGCUGGCGGCAGGCCUAACACAUGCAAGUCGAACGGUAACAUUUAUAGCUUGCUAUAAGAUGACGAGUGGCGGACGGGUGAGUAAUGCUUAGGAACUUGCCUUUUGGUGGGGGAUAACAGUUGGAAACGACUGCUAAUACCGCAUAAUGUCUUUGGACCAAAGGGGGCUUCGGCUCUCACCAAGAGAGAGGCCUAAGUGAGAUUAGUUAGUUGGUGGGGUAAAGGCUUACCAAGACGACGAUCUCUAGCUGUUCUGAGAGGAAGAUCAGCCACACUGGGACUGAGACACGGCCCAGACUCCUACGGGAGGCAGCAGUGGGGAAUAUUGCACAAUGGGGGGAACCCUGAUGCAGCCAUGCCGCGUGUGUGAAGAAGGCCUUCGGGUUGUAAAGCACUUUCAGUUGUGAGGAAAGGUUGGUAGUUAAUACCUGCCAGCUGUGACGUUAACAACAGAAGAAGCACCGGCUAACUCCGUGCCAGCAGCCGCGGUAAUACGGAGGGUGCGAGCGUUAAUCGGAACUACUGGGCGUAAAGCGCACGCAGGCGGUUUGUUAAGCGAGAUGUGAAAGCCCCGGGCUCAACCUGGGAGGGUCAUUUCGAACUGGCAGACUAGAGUUUUGGAGAGGGGAGUGGAAUUCCAGGUGUAGCGGUGAAAUGCGUAGAUAUCUGGAGGAACAUCAGUGGCGAAGGCGACUCCCUGGUCAAAGACUGACGCUCAUGUGCGAAAGUGUGGGUAGCGAACAGGAUUAGAUACCCUGGUAGU